UGCCAGCCGCCGCGGUAAUACGUAGGGUGCGAGCGUUGUCCGGAAUUAUUGGGCGUAAAGGGCUCGUAGGCGGUUUGUCGCGUCGGGAGUGAAAACACUGGGCUUAACUCAGUGCUUGCUUCCGAUACGGGCAGACUAGAGGUAUUCAGGGGAGAACGGAAUUCCUGGUGUAGCGGUGAAAUGCGCAGAUAUCAGGAGGGACACCGGUGGCGAAGGCGGUUCUCUGGGAAUUACCUGACGCUGAGGAGCGAAAGUGUGGGGAGCGAACAGGAUUAGAUA
rnacentral:rRNA from 1 species